AUUGAACGCUGGCGGCAGGCCUAACACAUGCAAGUCGAGCGGAGCGUCGGACGGGUGAGUAAUGCCUAGGAAUCUGCCUGGUAGUGGGGGAUAACGUCCGGAAAUGGGCGCUAAUACCGCAUACUAUCAGAUGAGCCAAGGUCGGAUUAGCUAGUAGGUGGGGUAAAGGCUCACCUAGGCGACGAUCCCUAGCUGGUCUGAGAGGCUGACCAGCCACACUGGAACUGAGACACGGUCUAGACUCCUACGGGAGGCAGAAGUGGGAAAUAUGGGACAAGGGGGGCAAGCCUGAUGCAGCCAUGCCGCUUGUAUGAAGAAGGCCUUCGGGUUGUAAAGUACUUUAAGCGUGAAGGCGUUACCCGAAGAAGAAGCACCGGCUAACUCCGUGCCAGCAGCCGCGGUAAUUC
rnacentral:rRNA from 1 species